UCCUUAGAUCUCAAAGCAGGUCAAGAAGCAGUGAUGCACUGGGGGCCCAGGGUGGAUCAUGUCAAAAGUCUGACUGGAGUCUCAGCCGGAAACUCUUGUCACCAUGGUGACAUCACUUGCUUCCUUUUCUGAGAUUUCAGUUCAUAUUGGAACAGCUUUUAAAGAUGGCUUCUGUUCAGUUUAGAUCAUCCUGGAAACUCCCGUCUUUCUCAAACUUAAAAUUUGGGAUGAACUUGUUCUUCAAUUGUGUUUAUUUAUACUAAAUCAGGGGACUUCAGACCACACAAGUGUUUCUUCACUUCUAAUGGCAUCCAGUAUUCAGACUGUGCUCUGGUUUAGUGUUGCUGAUUCAACUGCCCACAAAAUGUGUGAACUAUCCAAUGACUCUGUAUUCCCUGGGAAAUAAUAAUUGCCGCCAUCAUUCAUGAGGCAGAAGACUUUCAUGAUGUUAUGAAUGAGGUCCUGCAACAUAUUUGAAGAAAACUGUCUACCAAAAUGUUUUAGAGGCCAUGAAGAUGUUUGAGUCACUUCUUCAAAGGCAGCUGGGUUAAAAGAAAAGGCUUUUCUUGUUGCAGCAAGGAGAAAAAACACAGCAUGCAUAAAAACUUCAGAAGGUGUCUGUCUACUUCAUGUCAGCUUACAAAUAACAGAGGAAGUGAGUGCCGUACUGAAUCCAGAGUGAUGUAUUUUAUCACUUCGGACAACAGGGGGAGACGAAGCUAUCAGCAAAGGAUUUCUUCACAUUCUCUCCCCCAAAAGCAAAGAAGCAAGAAGAGAAUUAUUCCUUGUGAUUUGUGUAAUAAGUAAAUCUAUAAUUUCAUUU